UACGAAGGGGGCUAGCGUUGUUCGGAAUUACUGGGCGUAAAGCGCACGUAGGCGGAUAUUUAAGUCAGGGGUGAAAUCCCGGGGCUCAACCCCGGAACUGCCUUUGAUACUGGGUAUCUAGAGUCCAGAAGAGGUGAGUGGAAUUCCGAGUGUAGAGGUGAGAUUCGUAGAUAUUCGGAGGAACACCAGUGGCGAAGGCGGCUCACUGGUCUGGUACUGACGCUGAGGUGCGAAAGCGUGGGGAGCAAACAGG
rnacentral:rRNA from 1 species